AUUCCUACGGGACGCAGCAGUAGGGAAUCUUCCACAAUGGGCGAAAGCCUGAUGGAGCAACGCCGCGUGGGUGAAGAAGGUCUUCGGAUCGUAAAACCCUGUUGUUAGAGAAGAAAGUGCGUGAGAGUAACUGUUCACGUUUCGACGGUAUCUAACCGGAAAGCCACGGCUAACUACGUGCCAGCAGCCGCGGUAAUACGUAGGUGGCAAGCGUUAUCCGUAUUUAUUGGGCGUAAAGGGAACGCAGGCGGUCUUUUAAGUCUGAUGUGAAAUCCUUGGGCUUCACCGGAGUAGUGCAUUGGAAA
rnacentral:rRNA from 1 species